AGCGAACGCUGGCGGCAGGCCUAACACAUGCAAGUCGAACGAAGUCUUCGGACUUAGUGGCGGACGGGUGAGUAACACGUGGGAACGUACCUUUUGGUUCGGAACAACUCAGGGAAACUUGAGCUAAUACCGGAUAAGCCCUUAGGGGGAAAGAUUUAUCGCCGAAAGAGCGGCCCGCGUUAGAUUAGCUAGUUGGGGAGGUAAAGGCUCACCAAGGCUACGAUCUAUAGCUGGUCUGAGAGGAUGAUCAGCCACACUGGGACUGAGACACGGCCCAGACUCCUACGGGAGGCAGCAGUGGGGAAUCUUGCGCAAUGGGCGAAAGCCUGACGCAGCCAUGCCGCGUGAAUGAUGAAGGUCUUAGGAUUGUAAAAUUCUUUUACCAGGGACGAUAAUGACGGUACCUGGAGAAAAAGCCCCGGCUAACUUCGUGCCAGCAGCCGCCGUAACAC
rnacentral:rRNA from 1 species